ensembl:lncRNA LINC01791 long intergenic non-protein coding RNA 1791
ACCCUUGUCUCAUUCCGAGAUUGUGUGCUGAGGGUUUUCAACUGCAUCUCUAAAGGGAAGGCCAAAGAAAGAGCAACAGGAAAGGAUGGUAAAAAGGGGGUAGAAAGGAAGAAGGAAGGGAAGAAAAAAGGGAAAACAGCAAGCUCUCUUUCCAGAGCCACACAUUUUUUUCUGUUUGCUCAGUGGCAGUCUGUUAAAGAAAUACUUCAUUGUCACUGAACACAGAGUCAUUAAAGGCACCUUGGAAAUUUGGACCCUUUUACUAGAAUCAGGGCUUAAAUAGCAACUUAAUUUAUGACACUUCUCGAGGCUGAUGGCGUUUUUGCUCUAAGGAGGCUGCAAGUUGGAGAUCAGGGUGACAGCAUGAUCAGGUUCGGGUGAGGGCUCUCUUCCUGACUUGCAGACAAGCACCUCCCUGACCUGCCUUGCAAGAAAUGUUAAAAGAAGUGCUUUAGAGAGCAGGGAAAUUCUAUAGGUCAGACACUUGGAUCUACAUAAAAAAAGGAAGAAACCAAAGGAGAAAUAAGUGAAGGCAUGGAAACCUUGUUCCACACAUUGCCUGGUGCCCUGUCCAGCGCUGCAAGGUGCACUGCGUCUCCUCUGCCCAGCAAGCCACAAGCCCCUCCAGGGUGAGAGGAGAGCCUUCCCUUCCCUUGGUCCUCCCUUCGACACAGGGAGCUGGAGCUGGACAGCCCCAUAGGCACUCAGGGCUUGAAGAAGAUAUCUAGAAAUGUCAAAGCAGAAGAGCCUCGGAGAUAAUCUGAACUAUUUCUGAGUUUAUAUAAGGGAAAACUGAGACUGGAGAGAACUAACAUGUCUAAUAUUACAAUGGAAACUUGUAAUAAAACCACAAAU